ensembl:lncRNA
AUGAACAAUAGAGGUCAGAUUGAGUGUUUUUAUGAAGUGCAGGUGGAGAGGCAAGCAAUGCAUGGACCAGAGAGGCCGCAGAGGGCGGGAUGCAACAGAUGGACACACUCCGCAGGGGUUCUGCUGGACACCAUACAUGAGACUGAGCAGCAUAAUGACUUCCACUCUGCGGUCUGGAUAAUCCUCACAGAAACAGAUCAUAAUCCAGAUCCUUCAUCAUUAUUCCUUACGAUAAUGAAGACAUCUGUCUGCUUUGUGUGGAGCAGAGUGGCGACAAACAUGCUCGCGUUUCACAUGCCGCCUUCUGCCGCCGCUCCACUGCCAGACAGCAAUAUGGGGUAGCAUUUGGGCACUGAGCCCUGAAGACUUGAAUCCGCCUGGCUCUCUAAUGCCAGCAGUGCCCUCCAGUGCCUCCUUGUGCACAGCCUGCAGGAAAGGUGAACCGCCUGAGUGGGCAAGAUCACCUCAUAAGUGGUGAGAAAUUGGUUCAUGCUAACUCUUCCUUAGAGGUGUUAAACAACAGAUUUCAUCACUUAUGGCAACGCAUUGUUUACUCAGCUUUGUUUGCUUUCUUUUAUGGAGGAUUUCAAUUAAUUGCAUGGGUUUAGAGAAAGGAAAUCUGUCUCAUUUAACUUCCUACAAAAAUGUGAUCACAGUUUCCUGACGUAUUUUCAGCAUUGGCCAUGAAAUGAUAUAGAUGGGGCAGUGGAAUUCAAAAAAGCAAGGUCUAAAGACAAGGGUAUUUAAAGUUGAACUUCUUUUACUUCUUUAUGCUUUUAGAGCACACUGUCAUGCAUAAGAUGCUGCAAAUGGCACUAGACAAGAGUGCAGAGAUCAGAUGUAUUAUCAUCUAACGUGUGUUAUACAGAGAAAAACUUUGGAAAGGCAGUACAGUGUAAUGCAAAAAUGUGUUCCUUCGCCAGUCAGUGGAAAAGAAAAAACUGCAAGUUUCGGGAAACAUUUUUUAAAAAAAGUUGACUGCAGAUGGACUACUCAGAAGGGAUUAUUUUAGAGAGCUUUGUAAUAGUAAUUAUAUAUUUCUAAUCUAUUUGUAGUUCCAGAUGAUGCCCAAACUGUUUACUGCUAAAGGCCAAAAAUCAAACUAGAUUGAGUGGCUUUGGGCUGAAAAUAAAUGUGCCAUAACAUCCA